CGCAAGCGUUAUCCGGAAUUAUUGGGCGUAAAGAGCUCGUAGGCGGUUUGUCGCGUCUGCUGUGAAAACCCGAGGCUCAACCUCGGGCCUGCAGUGGGUACGGGCAGACUAGAGUGCGGUAGGGGAGAUUGGAACUCCUGGUGUAGCGGUGGAAUGCGCAGAUAUCAGGAAGAACACCGAUGGCGAAGGCAGAUCUCUGGGCCGUAACUGACGCUGAGGAGCGAAAGGGUGGGGAGCAAACAGGCUUAGAUACCCUGGUAGUCCACCCCGUAAACGUUGGGAACUAGUUGUGGGGUCCAUUCCACGGAUUCCGUGACGCAGCUAACGCAUUAAGUUCCCCGCCUGGGGAGUACGGCCGCAAGGCUAAAACUCAAAGGAAUUGACGGGGACCCGCACAAGCGGCGGAGCAUGCGGAUUAAUUCGAUGCAACGCGAAGAACCUUACCAAGGCUUGACAUAUAGAGGAAACGUCUGGAAACAGUCGCCCCGCAAGGUCUCUAUACAGGUGGUGCAUGGUUGUCGUCAGCUCGUGUCGUGAGAUGUUGGGUUAAGUCCCGCAACGAGCGCAACCCUCGUUCUAUGUUGCCAGCACGUAAUGGUGGGAACUCAUGGGAUACUGCCGGGGUCAACUCGGAGGAAGGUGGGGAUGACGUCAAAUCAUCAUGCCCCUUAUGUCUUGGGCUUCACGCAUGCUACAAUGGCCGGUACAAAGGGCUGCAAUACCGUAAGGUGGAGCGAAUCCCAAAAAGCCGGUCCCAGUUCGGAUUGAGGUCUGCAACUCGACCUCAUGAAGUCGGAGUCGCUAGUAAUCGCAGAUCAGCAACGCUGCGGUGAAUACGUUCCCGGGUCUUGUACACACCGCCCGUCAAGUCAUGAAAGUCGGUAACACCUCAAGCCGGUGGCCCAACCCUUGUGGAGGGAGCCGUCGAAGGUGGGAUCGGUAAUUAGGACUAAGUCGUAACAAGGUAGCCGUACCGGAAGGUGCGGCUG
rnacentral:rRNA from 1 species